UUAGGCAUGUAUUCCACAUGCCU
rnacentral:snRNA from 1 species